rnacentral:rRNA from 1 species
CGAAAGCCUGACGGAGCAACGCCGCGUGAGGGAUGAAGGCCUCUGGGCUGUAAACCUCUUUUAUCAAGGAAGAAGAUCUGACGGUACUUGAUGAAUAAGCCACGGCUAAUUCCGUGCCAGCAGCCGCGGUAAUACGGGAGUGGCAAGCGUUAUCCGGAAUUAUUGGGCGUAAAGCGUCCGCAGGCGGCCUUGUAAGUCUGUCGUCAAAGCGUGGAGCUUAACUCCAUUUAAGCGAUGGAAACUGUGAGGCUUGAGUGUGGUAGGGGCAGAGGGAAUUCCCGGUGUAGCGGUGAAAUGCGUAGAUAUCGGGAAGAACACCAGUGGCGAAGGCGCUCUGCUGGGCCAUAACUGACGCUCAUGGACGAAAGCCAGGGGAGCG